AAAUUAGAAGUUUUGAAGGGAGGGAGGAAGCCCAUGAUCAACUGGGAAACUUUAUAUACAUUAAUAAUCAAGAAGGAAAAGAAGAAGUCUCAGUUUUCAAUCCCCUCUGAAUAUAUUUCUUUUUUUUUAUCCUCACAGAUUUCCCAGCCGAGACGAUGCUGGAAGGUUUUCAACAACAUGGAAGUGGCAACCUCUGGCCGACUGCUUCCACCUUCAUCAUCCUCUUCUUCCUGAGUAUUUUCUACAGUGCCACGGUCACUCUAUUUAAGGUGGGGAGAGGAAAUUCAUUGACACUCUGAUCUGAUGUAACAGCUGCCGGUAAAAUGAGUAUAUUACCAUCAGCUUCACCGAUGUUCCUCGUCUGUUUGUGUUUAUCGUCAAUGUCCUGUGACAGAGUAUGUGAUGUCCUGUUUCACCGAUUGAUCUAAUUCAUUGGAAGUAAACAUUGUAUUGUGCAACUACGUAGAUUUUAGAGACUUUUCUUAUUGUUGGAUUAUUUCCCAAUCUGCCUUUUGUGAAUAACAUUUCACAUUGUUAUUUCAUGUACUGUCACACCUCUCUGAUAUUCUUUAUUUGCUGUUUACUAUUUGUGUGGUGUAAUGAUACAGAAAGACAGAGGCUGUUAUAUUUUAUCCUUUUAUUUCAUUCUGAAGAUGACUAUUUGGGGUCCGAUCCUAUUCCAUAAUGCCUACAGAAUCUCUAUAUUUGUUUGUCCGAAGUAUCAAGAAAUGAUAAAAGUUAGUGAGCUGUUUGAUCUGUGUCUUUCCUGUUCCCUUUGUGUCAAUGCCGCCUUGACUUCUGAUUUCCAAAUUGUUCAGAUUCACAGAAGCUCAGCAUUAAACAAAAGCUGUUGAAUGAA